rnacentral:lncRNA from 1 species
CCUUUAGCAAAGCGGAGGAACGUUGGUGGUGCGGAGGGACUGGUGGUCCAGCGCAAUUCGCUAGAUUUGAGAGCGAGAAAAGGCUCUCCACUGCAUUUUCCAUGCAUUCAAUCAUCAAAUUGUAGUUCGUUUCAAUUGAUUUCUGCUGAAAUUUAAAAAAUUAAUAAACAUUUCUAAAAAUAAAAGUAAACUUCAAGCUACAGACAGUUUGACUUGAAUGGCUUCAGCUGGAGCUAAGUAGGCUUACAGUGGGUGAAUCAAAGGGAUAAAGACACUGCAAUUUUCAGCUUCAUACCAAAGGAUAGACAAAGCACGACAGCAUGUUGCUAACUAAUUGUUCAAUCGAACUGAAAGGAAAAGUUGCAGGACAAAUAGCUCACUAAAGAAUCCCAUGUUGAGGACCUUUCCAGGCACGCUUUAUUCAACAGAGCUUUCAGGUUUUCAGUUU